GCCAGCUAUGGCAGUGGGUGCUGGCAGGUCACUGGCUGGGAAGGGGUGAGGGCGAGAAGGGAAGUAGAGUUGAUGUGGCUUUUGACAGGACAGAGUCCUUGUUUCUACUUGCUUGGCCUGUAACUGCUCCUGUCCCCUUACACUUUUUCUUUCCCUCUCUCUCUGGACUUCAUCUGGAGUUUUCUCGUCACAUCUCAGGCUCUGCCUUGAUUUACCCUGGAUGGAAGCUGAGGAAGGUGUACCUCACCUGUCACCUGAGAGUUGGAGGUAAACCCCAGGUUAUCAGGGGCCUGGAUAUUGACGUGAGACUGCGGGGAACCUAUGGGCUCUGCUUGAGGAAGACCUGCUUUGGACUGUACGUCUGCCACUUAUAGACCAUGGACUCUUGGCUGAUUAAUUAGUGCUACGGAGAUCCCGGGGAGGCCUUUAUCUGAAGAGCCGUUCAGCCAUUAGCAAAGGAAACUUCCUUGUGCACCAGCAGCUCAGAUAACAAGGGCACCUGUCUUGGGGAUAACCCGGGUGUGGAUAGUGAUGGCCAUGGUGCCUGACUAGAGCCUCGGCCCAGGGCUGCUACAAGGAAGGUGGACUCCCAGGACUCAUCCAUUAGCGAGGAUCCCAGGUGGCUCUGAUUCCCGGAACAUGUAGCCGUGGUGACCUGCUUCACUGCUGUGGCCCUUUCCCCUGCCUCUCCCAUGCUCUGCUUUGUCUUACCUCACCAUGACUGUCACUAUUUCUCUGGCCAAAUCUCCAACCACCGGGAGUUCUGAGGGCUCCUCAGAACGGGCAAGAGGUGGGGAUUGCUUGGUUAUUUGAUUCUUUUCAGCCAACCUUGAAGGGUUUGCAGAACCAGCUUCAUGGGCCUAUGAUCUGUACCCACAGGGCCCCAUACUCAGGAGGGCCACGUUCUUGGCUUAUUGCUCUGC